GUCGAGCGGACGAUGGGAGCUUGCUCCCUGAUGUUAGCGGCGGACGGGUGAGUAACACGUGGGUAACCUGCCUGUAAGACUGGGAUAACUCCGGGAAACCGGGGCUAAUACCGGAUGCUUGUUUGAACCGCAGGGUUCAGACAUAAAAGGUGGCUUCUGCUACCACUUACAGAUGGACCCGCGGCGCAGUAACUAGUUGGUGAGGUAACGGCUCACCAAGGCGACGAUGCAUACCCGACCUGAGAGGGUGAUCGGCCACACUGGGACUGACACACGGCCCAGACUCCUACGGGAGGCAGCAGUAGGGAAUCUUCCGCAAUGGACGAAAGUCUGACGGAGCAACGCCUCGUGAGUGAUGAAGGUUUUCGGAUCGUAAAGCUCUGUUGUUAGGGAAGAACAAGUGCCGUUCAAAUAGGGCGGCACCUUGACGGUACCUAACCAGAAAGCCACGGCUAACUACGUGCCAGCAGCCGCGGUAAUACGUAGGUGGCAAGCGUUGUCCGGAAUUAUUGGGCGUAAAGGGCUCGCAGGCGGUUUCUUAAGUCUGAUGUGAAAGCCCCCGGCUCAACCGGGGAGGGUCAUUGUAAACUGGUGAACUUGAGUGCAGAAGAGGAGAGUGGAAUUCCUCGUGUAGCGGUGAAAUGCGUAGAGAUGU
rnacentral:rRNA from 1 species